rnacentral:rRNA from 1 species
CCUACGGGAGGCAGCAGUGAGGAAUAUUGGUCAAUGGGCGCUAGCCUGAACCAGCCAAGUAGCGUGAAGGAUGACUGCCCUAUGGGUUGUAAACUUCUUUUAUAUGGGAAUAAAGUGCAGUAUGUAUACUGCUUUGCAUGUACCUUAUGAAUAAGGAUCGGCUAACUCCGUGCCAGCAGCCGCGGUAAUACGGAGGAUCCGAGCGUUAUCCGGAUUUAUUGGGUUUAAAGGGAGCGUAGGUGGAUUGUUAAGUCAGUUGUGAAAGUUUGGGGCUCAACCGUCAAAUUGCGGUUGAAACUGGCAGUCUAGAGUACAGGAGAGGUGGGCGGAAUUCGUGGUGUAGCGGUGAAAUGCUUAGAUAUCACGAAGAACUCCGAUUGCGAAGGCAGCUUACUGGACUGCCACUGACACUGAGGCUCGAAAGUGUGGGUAUCAAACAGGAUUAGAUACCCCGGUAGUC